GCGGAGGAAAAGAAAAUAACAAUGAUUCCCCUAGUAACUGCGAGUGAAGAGGGAUAAGCUCAAAUUUUAAAUCUGUUUGGUUUUACCUGACAGAGUUGUAAUUUAAAGAGACGUUUUCUGUGUCUUGAGUUAAUCAAAAUCCUUUGGAAUGAGGUAUCAUGGAGGGUGACAAUCCCGUUCAUGGUUAAUUCUAAGAURCUUUAUGAUGCGUUUUCGAAGAGUCGAGUUGUUUGGGAUUGCAGCUCAAAAUGGGAGGUAAAUUUCUCCUAAGGCUAAAUAUUGGCGAGAGACCGAUAGCGAACAAGUACCGUGAGGGAAAGAUGAAAAGAACUUUGAAAAGAGAGUUAAACAGUACGUGAAAUUGUUGAAAGGGAAACGAUUGAAGUCAGUCGUACCAGCGGGAAAUCAACCUUUCGAGUGGGGGUUUUGGAGUUUUGAAGAGUGUCAAAACCUUUGAGAUUUUAAAAUUUUCGCUCUUUUGGUGUACUUUCUCGUGGGUAGGUUAACAUCGAUUUUGAUCAUCAUAAAAAGAUUGGAGGAAUGUAGCUUCGAUCUUGUAUUGAAGUGUUAUAGCCUUUGGUAAAUGUGAUGAUUAGGAUCGAGGAUUGCAACGAAUACCCUUUUGGGCUAUCCGCCUGAUCUCUGAUACGUGGCCUUGGUAUCGAAAGCUUGCUUAUGGUAUUAAGGUAUUACGGUCAAAAGGUUAGAACGGAUUACAUUCGUUAAGGAUGUUGACGUAAUGGCUUUAAACGACCCGUCUUGA
rnacentral:rRNA from 1 species